UGGGGAAUAUUGGACAAUGGGCGAAAGCCUGAUCCAGCCAUGCCGCGUGUGUGAAGAAGGUCUUAUGGUUGUAAAGCACUUUAAGCGAGGAGGAGGGUACUGGUAUUAAUACUACCAGCUACUGGACGUUACUCGCAGAAUAAGCACCGGCUAACUCUGUGCCAGCAGCCGCGGUAAUACAGAGGGUGCAAGCGUUAAUCGGAAUUACUGGGCGUAAAGCGCGCGUAGGUGGUUCGUUAAGUUGAAUGUGAAAGCCCCGGGCUCAACCUGGGAACUGCAUCCAAAACUGGCGAGCUAGAGUAGGGCAGAGGGUGGUGGAAUUUCCUGUGUAGCGGUGAAAUGCGUAGAUAUAGGAAGGAACACCAGUGGCGAAGGCGACCACCUGGGCUCAUACUGACACUGAGGUGCGAAAGCGUGGGGAGCAAACAGG
rnacentral:rRNA from 1 species